AACAAGGCUAAAGCAGCACUGUGGCGCUCUUUUUUCGAAUAUCAGCUUCCGUUAACGGUCGCGUUCAGUGGCGUUUUAUUUCAAUGGCCUUUGUAACACGUCCACGCCAUUUUCUCACCGGACCAGCAGGUGGCGGAAGGACUUCAGCUUCCGUGGACAGAGCGGCUUGCACUUGUGGAGGUGAUGUUUGCUGCUCUUAUGUUCCACGGCUGACAGAGGGUGGAGUGUGACUCUGCAUGGAAAAUGUCCCAAUUAUUUCCAGGUGCGUUCAGACCGCCCUCUACUGCCGGGAGUGACGCCACUGAUUUGCAAAGUCGGUGGAGCGGGGCACUUGACGGCAAUUGGAGCCGACUACCAUGAGGGGGCGCUGUGGCAGUGGGCAUCGCCACUCAGGCACACAAUUGUGCCACACCGGUGAUGAGACCUGCUGCUGGAGUGCUGAAAACUGAAGCUCAGGAGACUGGAGUUUGCGCCAGGUGCAGCUGCCUGAUCCAGUGCUGAGGAUGAGGUGAAACGUAUUGCUCCUUAUCUGCCGCUCGUCCUCUCCGCAUCUACUACUGGUCCCUGAAAUCACCAAAGCUAGAGUCCAUCUGAAGGGUUUGCAGAUGAGGACAGAGAACUGAAGUGGCUGACUCCCUCCAGAAACCCCUCUUAGAUGACACAAGUUUCACAUUUAUUAGGUCGUUUAUGAAGCUACAAUACAUUUAAUGUAAAAAAAAUUUCCCACAAUUUCUGCAUCAUCAGAACCAGGCACCUUCCUCCUGGCCCUCAUCACUCCUGACAAGAUCAUUGUGUUCACAUUUACUGUACAUAGUUCAUGUCUCUGGUUAUUUAUAGAUGUGAGUUUAAGAUGGGAUUCUUUUUGUCAGUAAAGUUUGAACAUUUAUCUUCUAGCAAAUUCUUGGUUUUACAUUAACUGGUGGUCAAAAAAGUACCAGCUCGUCACGCCCCCCUGUUCCCAAACGUGGUUUGAUUGCAUAUUAAAUAUUGAGCAGUUGCUGUGUACCUGCCCUGUGUCUGGAUCAGAAACAUGCGACGGCUCUCAUUGACUGUCCUUAGCUGUGAAGCCUGAAAACACCUUCAUACCCUCCUUUUUCUUCAAUGCAGAUCUGAGUGGUUCAUCUUUCAUUUCCUAUAUUGGAACCAUUGGAUCAUUUUGUUCCCCUAUAAAAUCCUCUCAUUUCUUGCCUUCCUCCUUUCCUGCGGUCACAUGUCAAAUAGUUUUGGGUAUCUUGUUUUUAUUAAUAUUAACAAUACUUUAACUGAUUUAUCUCAGUUGAAAUGAUUGGCUGGAUUGAAAGAUGGUGAAUUUUGUUUUAUUAUUCCUGU